rnacentral:rRNA from 1 species
GUGCCAGCCGCCGCGGUAAUACAGAGGGUGCAAGCGUUGUUCGGAAUUACUGGGCGUAAAGCGCGUGUAGGCUGCAACGUAAGUUGGACGUGAAAGCCCUUGGCUUAACCAAGGAAGUGCAUCCAAUACUGCGUCGCUUGAGUGUCGGAGGGGGCGGCGGAAUUCCCGGUGUAGAGGUGAAAUUCGUAGAUAUCGGGAGGAACACCUGUGGCGAAGGCGGCCGCCUGGACGAUAACUGACGCUGAGACGCGAAAGCGUGGGUAGCAAACAGGAUUAGAAACCCUGGUAGUCC